rnacentral:rRNA from 1 species
ACUCAAUAAGCGGAGGAAAAGAAACUAACAAGGAUUCCCCUAGUAACGGCGAGUGAAGCGGGAAGAGCUCAAAUUUGUAAUCUGGCGGCCUUUGGCCGUCCGAGUUGUAGUCUCGAGAAGCGUUUUCUGYGCCGGACCGUGUACAAGUCCCUUGGAACAGGGCGUCACAGAGGGUGAGAAUCCCGUCUUUGACACGGACUGCCGGUGCUUUGUGAUGCGCUCUCAAAGAGUCGAGUUGUUUGGGAAUGCAGCUCAAAACGGGUGGUAAAUUCCAUCUAAAGCUAAAUAUUGGCGAAAGACCGAUAGCGAACAAGUACCGUGAGGGAAAGAUGAAAAGCACUUUGGAAAGAGAGUUAAACAGUACGUGAAAUUGCUGAAAGGGAAACGCUUGAAGUCAGUCGCGUCUCCCGGGACUCAGCCGUGCCUCUYGCACGGYGUACUUCCUGGGGAUUAACGGGCCACAWUCAAUUUUGGCCGUCGAAAAAGGGUUGGGGAAAGGGGCACCUUUGGGUGGGGUAUWACCCUUGGGYCCAAGGCAACGGUGGGAAUCAAGAACCCAACACCUUUUUCCUUUUUCAAAGGGGGGUUCGGGGUUCCCCACCCMAACCUUGCUUAAGAAGSUUGGSGKAAWGGGUUUUAACCAACCCUYUU